AUUGAACGCUGGCGGAAUGCUUUACACAUGCAAGUCGAGCGGCAGCGCGGGGGCAACCCUGGCGGCGAGCGGCGAACGGGUGAGUAACAUAUCGGAACGUACCCAGUCGUGGGGGAUAACUAUCCGAAAGGAUAGCUAAUACCGCAUACGUCCUGAGGGAGAAAGCGGGGGAUCGCAAGACCUCGCGCGAUUGGAGCGGCCGAUAUCGGAUUAGCUAGUUGGUGGGGUAAAGGCUCACCAAGGCGACGAUCCGUAGCGGGUCUGAGAGGACGACCCGCCACACUGGAACUGAGACACGGUCCAGACUCCUACGGGAGGCAGCAGUGGGGAAUUUUGGACAAUGGGGGCAACCCUGAUCCAGCCAUGCCGCGUGAGUGAAGAAGGCCUCGG
rnacentral:rRNA from 1 species